UAACCCUUGAUGGUUAAUAAAGAAAUCAUCAUCAUCAUCAUCAUCCUCAUCAUCAUCACCAACAUCAUCAUCACCAUUACCAUCAUCAUCAACAUCAUCAUCAUCAUCAUCAUCAUCAUCAUCAUCAUCAUUGUUGUUGUUGUUGUUGUUGUUGUUAUUAUUAUUAUUAUUAUUAUUAUUAUUUAGGCGAAGAGACUUGAAUCAUGGUACAAAGGAGACUUAAUUAGAGACAGAGAUAUUAUUAAAUCAAUUGACAUCAACUUGGAGGAUUUUAAAAAUAUCGUUGCUGCUACUGGUGCUGCCGUUAAUAGUUUUGAGACAUUUUUUUAUGCUAACAUACGAAUAAAUCGUGAUGUAGUGGACGUUGGAAUUCUGAGAUAUCCUGGAUUAGGGGAUUCUUCUUUUAAGUUGUACCGAAUCAAACUAUCUGCGUUCAGAUACACUAAACGUAUACUAUUUGUGGAAGAAACAAGCUCUGGCAUACAUGGAACUUUCAAUAUGCAUGAAUUCAUUCCAAAUGACGGCGCCAUGGAAAAAAUGGAUCCCACACUUAGAGAUAGAUUUCUUAAAUCUGCUUUAGAUUUCCUUCUUGAAUUUUAAUAAAUUUAUUAACAUCAGAUAGCAAAA